ACCAAGAAGUGAGCGAGGGAUCCACUUUAUCCUUCCAAUAGACACCAAGUAUUCAGGUUCUGACUCAACCCUCUGCAGACCAAGAAGUGAGCGAGGGAUGCACUUCAUCCUUCCAAUAGGUAAUUACACAUUAAUUUAUUCUAUUUGCCAUUAAGUAUGUGUCUUACUUGGCUCCAGUGCCUACACGAAAUGUCCUUGAAAUGCCUUUUAAAACAAUUAGAUUGUAUGAAAUAUUCACAAUAUCAUCAAUGUCAGUAUUGCAUUGCUGGGGAAGUAGAUCGAUUUACAUCAGUGUGGGGUUUAGAGCUUUUUUUGACAACAACAGAAGAAGUUAGAACCACUAUUAUUUUCACUUACAGUGUAAUUAAUUGCAUCAUAAUUUACAGUUAGAGUUCUGUGUAAUUUCAAACAAAUAAUGAAUCUCUGUCAUUUCAUUUAAGUUCAGCCUCCUCCCACCUGACAGCUAUUGCAAAGCAAGUAAGACAGCUGCCUUCUUCUCCUUCAUUCAAAAAUGUUAUGUUCUUUGACUGGGGAUAUUUACUUUUUGAGAAAAUAUUGUAGACUCUUAACUAAGACUAUAGUUCUUUACACUUGAUUCUUGAUAUGGACAGUCAAAAGCAAGCCAUCAUCUGCAAAAUGUAAAGUGGCAUCAUGCUUGGUGUGAGGAACGUUAUGAUGAGGCCAAGAAAAAGAUAUUUGAGAGAGAGAGGCAGAUGACUUUGAGUCUGUUCACCAGAAUGAAUAAUUCUGUGAGUUUGCAAAUCAAAGCAAAAAACAAACAUUUGGUCAUAUGCAAAUUCAUUAUUUUCAAGGUAUUUAUUUUACAAGAACUUCCAUGGGCCUAGCAGAAUUUCUCUCAUUCACUUGUUUUUUCCAUUUCAUUCACCAUGUUUGAAAGACAAAGUUGCAAAAGAUUUUUUCUCUCAAAAUAUUUGUUACACUGUCCUUUAUAAUCAUACACCAUCAACAUCAAAUCGCACAGAGACGUGUUGUGGUUUAGGGAUUAUUGUCCUAAUAGUAUGUCAUAGGUAGGUAGGUAUGUGAGGGAAAAUAUUUUCAAAGGAUUAUGUAAAUCAUUUAAUCACUUCACUUUAAUAUAACUGGGGAGAAAUUAUCUGUUCACUGAUUUGUAUUUACAGUAUUAAUGAUGGUUUUAAAGGUUGAACAUCACUUGGUCGAUGAUGGUGGAUUUCGUGAUGGAAACUCUGCAAGCUUUGACCAGAUCUCUACUGAUGAUUCUUCAGAUUGCACACCUUAUGAAGAUACUGAUGAUAUGUUCCAGACUCAAGUGUCAAUUCCUCAGACAAAA